CCUACGGGUGGCAGCAGUGAGGAAUAUUGGUCAAUGGACGAGAGUCUGAACCAGCAAAGUAGCGUGAAGGAUGACUGCCCUCUGGGUUGUAAACUUCUUUUAUAUGGGAAUAAAAUGUUCCACGUGUGGGAUUUUGUGUGUACCAUAUGAAUAAGGAUCGGCUAACUCCGGGCCAGCAGCAGCGGUAAUACGGAGGAGCCGGGCGUUAUCCGGAUGUAUUGGGUUUAAAGGGAGCGUAGGUGGUGUGUUAAGUCAGUUGUGAAAGUUUGCGGCUCAACCGUAAAAUUGCAGUUGAAACUGGCAGUCUUGAGUACAGUAGAGGUGGGUGGAAUUCGUAGUGUAGCGGUGAAAUGCUUAGAUAUCACGAAGAACUCCGAUUGCGAAGGCAGCUCACUGGACUGCAACUGACACUGAGGCUCGAAAGUGUGGGUAUCAAACAGGAUUAGAUACCCUGGUAGUC
rnacentral:rRNA from 1 species